CAAAAAGUUCAGGAGAAAUUAAGUUAAAAGAAAAUUUGCUCCAACUGCAUUCAGGAUCACCUUGGAAAGACUUUGACAGCUCAGGUCAAUGAAGGGUCUGCAGCUGCCACCCGCCUUGCCUGUCACA